rnacentral:rRNA from 1 species
AUUGAACGCUGGCGGCAGGCCUAACACAUGCAAGUCGAGCGGAUGAUGGGAGCUUGCUCCUUGAUUCAGCGGCGGACGGGUGAGUAAUGCCUAGGAAUCUGCCUGGUAGUGGGGGACAACGUUUCGAAAGGAACGCUAAUACCGCAUACGUCCUACGGGAGAAAGCAGGGGACCUUCGGGCCUUGCGCUAUCAGAUGAGCCUAGGUCGGAUUAGCUUGUUGGUGAGGUAAUGGCUCACCAAGGGGACGAUCCGUAACUGGUCUGAGAGGAUGAUCAGUCACACUGGAACUGAGACACGGUCCAGACUCCUACGGGAGGCAGCAGUGGGGAAUAUUGGACAAUGGGCGAAAGCCUGAUCCAGCCAUGCCGCGUGUGUGAAGAAGGUCUUCGGAUUGUAAAGCACUUUAAGUUGGGAGGAAGGGUUGUAGAUUAAUACUCUGCAAUUUUGACGUUACCGACAGAAUAAGCACCGGCUAACUCUGUGCCAGCCGCCGCCGUAAUAC